rnacentral:rRNA from 1 species
UCCGGAAAUGUGCCUGUCUCUCUGCUCCAUUCGAAGUGACAUAGGAACGUAAUGUCGCUUUUACUCAGUUGAGCUGAUGGCAAACGGUCAGCCGUGUCGUCAACAUGUUCAUUUUUUUUUUAAAAAGAUGAAUGUGCAUUUUCAAAGUUAGAUCUCUGGCGUAUAGCACGAAUGGAAAUGCACGGUAUUUGUAGCAACCGUUUUUCUAUACCUAUACAAAAAAAGCAUUCAAAAUAUAAGGCAGAAGGGCGAAUCCGCCAAAAUGAAAAAAAAAGCGGAAGAAAAGAAAAUAACAAUGAUUCCUUUAGUAACGGCGAGUGAACGAGGAAAAGCUCAAGCUGAAAAUCUUUCCAUAGGAAGGGGGCCUUACGGGUGGUUUCCCCCUUCCUGCAAAGAGUUGUAGCGUUUUCAAGUGAGAGAUGAUUAUGUGUAACAGCACCAUUGUGUGUAUGAACAUGUAGCAUAUCAGUAAACGUCCUGGGAAUUUUUCCCCCAUAUUUACCUGCGAAAAAACGAAAUGAUUGCAGGAACGCAUUCCCACAGAGGGUGAAAGGCCCGUAGUUUUUGCAAGUAUAUAUAAAAGAGUGUAGAUCUGGGGGGCGCAGCGGAAAACGUUCUUUUCCCACUCUCCAUUUUCUGCAUCUCUUUAUUUUCCAGGGCAUCUCUCAUUUAAGAGUCGUGUUCGCGAAAUUGGAACACUAAUAUGUGUGGUGCAAGGGAAGGUUUUUUUUUUUUUUUUUGUUUGGGUGGUGCUGUGGGUUGUGGUCUGUCCUGCUCCGAUAAUUUGCCUGUACCGAUGAGUGUGCAGGGGGAGUAAAGGUAGGAUAGUAUCUCAUGGCUUUCACGGCGGUACGCCCCCUUCUUUCAACCCAUUUUUUUUGCUAAAAAGGGAUGGCAGUUGUUAAAUCACAUAAAGCUAAAUAUGCGUAGGAGACCGAUAGCAAACAAGUACCGUGAGGGAAAGAUGAAAUAGUACUCAGGAAUGAGCGAUUAAAUAGUACCUGAAAUCGUUAAGGUGGAACGGAUUAAGGAAGAGAAAAAGUAAGGUGUAUCAUUUUCUGCUUCUUUCGGCAUGCACUUCUCACAGGUGUCAUAUCUUUCACUGGGACUGGUUCUUCCAGCGUGAGAUGCAUUUCCCUGCGGGACCUUUUCCGCAGCAUAUUUGUAUUCUCACCGAGCGCGAGACACUUCGGAGUGGGAUCCCUGGCACAGAGACAUGACGGGGGUUGUGGAGUGGUGCACCUUAUUUAAAGAAACAUCAGUGAAGGUUUUUUUUUGGGGGCGUUGCAGAGUGUGGAGCGGACACGGGGGUGCGGGGCGAAAAAGAAAAAAAGAAAAAAAGGGGAAAGCGGCAUACAUAUGUGCAUACAUGUAUACACUACUGCUGGGGAGUUUUCCACCUCGCGUGGAGUUCCCCCCCAACUGUAAUGUAUAUACGUAUGUACAUAUGUGUGUUUUUUUUUUUUUUUUUUCUUUUUCCCUUUUUCGCGCCCUCCCCCGGUUUUCCCCCCGGCUAAGGAGGGGCGGCACAAUCGACCCUUGCGAUGUGAUGCGAUGCGAUGCAAUGCACUAUUCUCAUGGGUAUUUGCCGGCUUCGCCACCCAGUUGAAGAACUGUUUAUGCUUCCCCUCAGCUGUGUACGCACGUUUUCCCCCCUUUACUGAGGGCGAUUUUAAAAAUUGUAGAAACUGUGUACGCGAAUGUGUCCCGUUUUUUACUUUUUAAGAUGUUUCUAAAAAGGUCUUCCUUAACCCUCUCGUUUUGAAAGGCGAACCAAGGAGUCUAGCAGAUAUGCAAGCGAACGUGGAGAUACAUAUAUUUAUAUAUGAAUUGAUUAAACAUAUGUCUGCGGUGCUUAGUAGUGUGGUGCUUUUUCAGCACAGCGAAACGGACCCAGCGAGUUUGCGCGUUGUGGUUUUAACCGAUCACCCUUGUAGAUUUGAAGUCCCUGCUCGUGUGUUGCUAAUGAAGCAGCACGGUAAAGCGGGCAGUGGAAUUUGAUGCUUACAGAUACGACCAGUCAGCGUUAUGUAAUCCUUCCUGACUUGCGUAGGAGCAUGUGUGCUAGGACCCGAGAGGCUUUGAACUAAAAACCGCGUUGAAGCCCCGAAUGGCCGCAUUAAUUUCGACUGGGAGGGUUGUUAUUUCGUUGGCGCAUUUGGGGUAGUUCACACCAAAGCGCGCUUUUAGGGGCACACGCGCAUAUGUAGCGUAUGAAAUCGCGAUGCCUGACUGAAAAGCCUAUUAGCUGGUUAUUUUCGAAAGAUCUCUCACGAUCGCUGGAGUCGGGCGUGUACUUUUAUCCCCCCUGUCGGAUGGGUAACUCGCAAGGGGAGCGGCUAAAAUAGAGUGGGAAAAAGGAGAGGCGGCUUCUUUUGGAGGCGUUUUUUUUUUUUCCCCCCCCCUGUUUUAGCCGCUCCCCUUGCGCAUGGCCUAAUACGAGACUUCAAGUGGGCCAAUUUUGGUAAACAAAAAAUGGCAAUGAGGGAUGAACCUAAUGCCCGGAUAAGGUGCCUAAAUAUUCGCUCAUUAGAUCCAAAUUAAGUAACGGUGUUGAUUCGUGGUGACAGCAGGGCGGUGCUCCUCGAAGUGGAGAUCCGCUAAGGAGUGUGUGCCAACUCACCUGCCGAAUGGAUUUGCCCAGGAAAAAGUGGAUGGCGCUAAAGCGGAUUACCGAUACCGGGCCAUAAAAAGUGAAAUGGCUUCCAAGCAAAGCCGCUCCAAUUUAUUGUGUCCUUUUGGCAACUUUUUAUGAGUAGAAAAUCGUGGGGUGUCGUGAAGAAGCGAAAUACGUGAGUAUUCGUGGAACAUAUCCCUAGUGCAGAUCUUGGUGGAAGUAGCAAAUAUUCAAAUGAAAUACUUUGAAGGGCCUAUCAAGUGUAAUAGGAGAUCGUACUGUUAUACGGAAGAACUUUCCAAUUGCCUAUUGCCAUAACCUCCUUAUGGAACCAACAUGGUAGCCGCUCCCCCGAAAUCGUUUUUUCUUUCCCAUUUUUUUCUUCGGGAGAAGAUGGGAGGAAAGAAUGCAAUUGUGAGUAUCCGGGAGAGGUUUCACGAAAUGCCCGUUAGGCGCAAAAGUUUUCCUCAUGGACAUCCUUUUAGCACCGUGGCUGAGUGUUUCUUCUCCUUUUUCAGUUUCGCGGGGAAAUCAGGUUUACAAACCCUGAGCAGUUGAUUUUUCGAGCUCGUAUUGUAGCUGGCGACAGGAUUAUUUUUAUAAUUUCAAAAUCUAUCGAAGGUGAUUCUCUCCCACGGUGUGCAGAUAGGUGCGUGUGCUGUUGUGGCGGUGUUUAAUGUGCUGUUUUAUGCUGCGGCGCGGGCAUUUGAUAGUUGUAUUUUCUUGCUGCUGUGCGGGCAAUUGGUAUUUUAUAUACCUCUUGCUGCUGUGCGGGCAUUUAGAUAGUUAGGUUAUUUGCUGCUGUGCGGGCGUUUAAUGGUCAUAUUUUACGUUGCUUCAACUGGCGCUCGCCCCUUGACGCGUAGCCCUCAACAUAUUAGUGGAGCGAAAUCUCGGAGUAAGGUUGCUUAAACUUUGCGUAGAUGAGAGUGCAUCCUAUUGCAAAAUGGUUGCAAGUUAUCUUGUAACACAUUUUAUGUAUAUAGUGAGGCCAUUUUCGCUUAAGCCUUUGGAACGGGAUAGGGAAAAGGAAAAGUAAAAAAAAAAAAAAAAAUAAAUUAAAAAAAAAAAAAUGAAUGGAUGUCAUAAAUAAAAUUAAGCAUAGGCACGAGGUUACUUCUGAAGUGUUCUACUUCUAUGUUGUUCCUCUCUUGUAAGCCUUUUUUUUUAUUAAUGAUUUGCUGCUUCGUUCAUUUUAUUUUUUUUUUCUUUAUUUUUUUCUUUUAUGUUUACUUGUCUCCCGCUCCCAUGCUGCUUUCCCACACCUUAGUGCGCACUUUUGUGGCAUAAUUCGCAGUAUAAAGCACCUCUUCGUGCCAUAUGCGCAGUCGAAUUAUCCGAUUUGGGAAGGGUCGUCGUGUAUUCACCGAUAGAGAUUGUAAAACAUCGAAUCGUGUUACUAUAAGUAACCUGUCUGGGGUUCCUAGGCGCUUAUCGACCUGCGGGCUAUUUGCCGCUUGUAGAUGCACCCCUUUCAGGUAUACGGUACCAUGCGCGGUGAGGGGGUUCUCUCCUCGCCCAUUCGUGUGCUCGAUUAAUUAAAUUGAAGUAGUAUCUGUGGGCAGGAAUUUUUUUUCACGAAAGGUUGAUAGCCAUAGGCCUUAAAGUUUACCACAUAGAUAGAGGGCAAGUCGUAUCAGGGGAGCAAAAAAGGGAGGAGGAGGGGAAGCGGUCGGAGUUGAGAAGUUGUGUGCAUACUGUAGUGAUAUGCAUACCGCUUCUUACCAUUGACCGCUCCCCCCCCCCCUCGGCCGUAACUUUUUCCAAAGUUUGCCCUGCUAAGCGUAGGAACGGGGACAAUAUAUAAAAAAGGGCGAAGUGGAACAUAGAGAAUUGGGAUCAGGUAUAAGGGACAUGUAAAGGGGUCUCUAUCCGUCCAGUUCGUCGGUUUUUUAUAGCCAGUCAGCGCCGUUCGCCAUUCUGGUUAAGCGAUGCGGAUAUGGUUGGAGAAAAAUAACAUGGGGAGUAGAGUUUUAUUAUGACCCGUAUUAUUAUGGCUCCUACUGUUGAUGCGGAGGCUUGCUACGCGUUAUCAGGGCUGGAUCGGAACGAUGAAAAGAGAUAGGGGGGGGGGAUCUACAAAUCUACCCGGUUGUUUAGGAAACUCAUGUGUCAUUGUGCUUUUCGCAUCUAAAGAAUGACCGUUUCUGUCCGAUGCUUAGGGUAUAUCAUUUGGCAGAUACGCCCCAUAAGCGGUUUAGGUGCACACAGGUGCGCAUAUACCCUUUUGCAUAUUAGGUUAUGCCUUAAGUGUAGCUGUGCCUCCCUGUGUGUUUUACCUCUCCGUGGCAAAGGCCAGGAUUCGUAAACAAGUGAACUUCCUAUGCCAGUCAGAGUUGUGCCAUUUUGCCUUCGCAAUUUGAUACGUGAAUUUGACUGGAGUAACCUCACCCGAAUGUGCAAGAGAGGGGGGUAGAAUCUCUCCCGAAAAGUAUAUCUCGCGCUCAUCCCUGUGCUGUAAAAAUCCUUGCCAUCUAGCGAAACCACAUCCAAGGGAACGGGCUUGGAAUGUCAGUAAAAAAAGGAUAUAGAAGACCCUGUGUGUGUGACUUGGCUCUUGCUUGGAUCUGCUGAACGACUCAAGAGGUGUAGCGAGUAAAUUUAUAAGUGGGAGUAGAAGCACAGUUUCGCGCUGGAGAGAUUGUGCAGUAUACGCCAGUGAAAUACCACUACUUUUGAGGCUGUUCGGCUAACCCGUUAGAAAAGACUGGGAGGGGAGUGCCCGCAACGCUGUUCGGUAGAAGUUGCCAUGGGAUGCUUUUUCUUCGUACGUGCGCAAAUGUGUGCAUGUGAAAUGGGGAAGGGGUUAAAAAAUGAGUAGCCAUUUUAUUGUGGUUGUUUUUUUUUUUUUCCCCCCUCAUCCCCUCAGUCGAACGGGGACCCAUCCAGGUGAAGGGUGAAGCGAGCGGAUGAUGCGAGGGUCCGACUGAUAAGGAGUGCAAGGCAGAUUGACCAGUCGGGGGCAGGCUCAGGGAGAACAGAAAUCUCCCAUAGACCGGAUUAGAAAUCGGAAAUGCUUGCCUCUAUAUGUAGCCAUCACCCGAUGUGCAUCAUGCAUAUACUCAUCCCCGCGGGAUAUUUAUACCCCCCUUUUUACACUUAAAGAAAGGCCCAAUUAGCUCUCCUUAUAAAUGCACCAAGUGUAUAAAAGGGUUUAUCUCAGAAAGGUCACUACAGGGAUAACUGAAUUGCGGCUGCCGAGCGGUUGUAGCGACGUGGCUUUUUGUUUUUCACCGAUUUUUAGAAUAUAGGCUCUUCCUAACAUUGAGGUGAAGAAAUCUCAAAGUGUCGGAUUGUUCACUCCGCUAAGAGGAACGAGUGCCUGAAAUGAGAGACCCUCACGAGAGGAGUCACCUUUAAAAAGAAAUCCUUACUGAUGAAUGUAUAAUAAAUGACGGAUGCUAUACCGUCCAACGAAAUGUGCCAGUAAGCCAUCUCAGUACGAGAGGAAUGGAUGGCUCAGACAGUUGGUACAGCAAUUGGUUGACAAACCAGUAUUGCGAAGCUUAAGUCUGUAGGAUAAUGGCUGAACGCCUCUUAAGCCAGAACCCUUGCUGAUUAAUUAUUUUGUUUCUGAUUUUCCUUACACCACUUUUUUUUACCAUCGUAGAAGAAGGACAAUAUACGUGAACAUAUACCCUUUUUGGUAUCGGUUCAUAAAUAAUCCCUUUAGGGCGAAUUUUGGCUAGCUGUGCAGUUCUUCUGCACAACCUGCCGGAUGAGCUUUUAACUGUAGAGAAUACAUAAGGAAAGUUUUUUUCGUUUGUAGACCACAUUGAUUUCCUCCAGGUGCUGUAAAUAUGAGAGUAA